ACUCCGUACGGGAGGCAGCAGGUGGGGAAUAUUGCACAAGUACGGGGGAAACCCUGAUGCAGCCAUGCCGCGUGUGUGAAGAAGGCCUUCGGGUUGUAAAGCACUUUCAGUAGGGAGGAAGGUAGUGUAGUUAACACCUGCAUUAUUUGUACGUUACCUACAGAAGAAGCACCGGCUAACUCCGUGCCAGCAGCCGCGGUAAUACGGAGGGUGCGAGCGUUAAUCGGAAUUACUGGGCGUAAAGCGCAUGCAGGCGGCCUGUUAAAGUCAGAUGUGAAAGCCCGGGGCUUAACCUCGGAAUUGCAUUUGAAAACUGGCAGGCUAGAGUCUUGUAGAGGGGGGUAGAAUUUCAGGUGUAGCGGUGAAAUGCGUAGAGAAUCUG
rnacentral:rRNA from 1 species